CAGAACGAACGCUGGCGGCAGGCCUAAUACAUGCAAGUCGAGCGCGCCCUUCGGGGUGAGCGGCGGACGGGUGAGUAACGCGUGGGAAUAUGCCCUUCUCUAAGGAAUAGCCUCUGGAAACGGAGAGUAAUACCUUAUACGCCCUUUGGGGGAAAGAUUUAUCGGAGAAGGAUUAGCCCGCGUUAGAUUAGGUAGUUGGUGGGGUAAUGGCCUACCAAGCCUACGAUCUAUAGCUGGUUUGAGAGGAUGAUCAGCCACACUGGGACUGAGACACGGCCCAGACUCCUACGGGAGGCAGCAGUAGGGAAUCUUAGACAAUGGGGGCAACCCUGAUCUAGCCAUGCCGCGUGUGUGAUGAAGGCCCUAGGGUCGUAAAGCACUUUCGCCAGAGAUGAUAAUGACAGUAUCUGGUAAAGAAACCCCGGCUAACUCCGUGCCAGCAGCCGCGGUAAUACGGAGGGGGUUAGCGUUGUUCGGAAUUACUGGGCGUAAAGCGCACGUAGGCGGAUUAGUAAGUUAGAGGUGAAAUCCCAGGGCUCAACCCUGGAACUGCCUUUAAUACUGCUAGUCUUGAGUUCGAGAGAGGUAAGUGGAAUUCCGAGUGUAGAGGUGAAAUUCGUAGAUAUUCGGAGGAACACCAGUGGCGAAGGCGGCUUACUGGCUCGAUACUGACGCUGAGGUGCGAAAGUGUGGGGAGCAAACAGGAUUAGAUACCCUGGUAGUCCACACCGUAAACGAUGAAUGCCAGACGUCAGCAAGUAUACUUGUUGGU
rnacentral:rRNA from 1 species